UGAUGAUGAUGAUGGUGAUGGUGGUGGUGAUGGUGGUGAUGAUGGUGAUGUUAGCUGGAGGUUUUUAGGAAAGAACUUUGAAGUUUUUAAAUUUGACCAUUAUCAUCUCGGGCAUCAUCAUCGUCAUCAUCAUCACCAUCAUCAUCGUCAUCA
rnacentral:pre_miRNA from 1 species